rnacentral:rRNA from 1 species
UACGUAGGGGGCUAGCGUUGUCCGGAAUCAUUGGGCGUAAAGAGCGUGUAGGCGGCCCGGUAAGUCCGCUGUAAAAGUCAAAGGCUCAACCUUUGAAUGUCAGUGGAUACUGUCGGGCUCGAGUCCGGAAGAGGCGAGUGGAAUUCCUGGUGUAGCGGUGAAAUGCGCAGAUAUCAGGAGGAACACCAAUGGCGAAGGCAGCUCGCUGGGACGUGACUGACGCUGAGACGCGAAAGCGUGGGGAGCAAACAGG